rnacentral:rRNA from 1 species
UACGGAGGAUGCGAGCGUUAUCCGGAUUUAUUGGGUUUAAAGGGUGCGCAGGCGGGACGCCAAGUCAGCGGUCAAAUUUCGGGGCUCAACCCCGACCUGCCGUUGAAACUGUGUGGCUGGAGACGGAGAGAAGUAGGCGGAAUGCGCGGUGUAGCGGUGAAAUGCAUAGAUAUCGCGCAGAACUCCGAUUGCGAAGGCAGCAUACCGGCGCCCAACUGACGCUCAUGCACGAAAGCGUGGGUAUCGAA